rnacentral:rRNA from 1 species
GAUGAACGCUAGCUACAGGCUUAACACAUGCAAGUCGAGGGGUAACGAGAGGGAAGCUUGCUUUCCUUGUCGACGACCGGCGCACGGGUGAGUAACGCGUAUCCAACCUGCCCCCAACUAGGGAAUAACCUUGCGAAAGUAAGACUAAUACCCUAUAAUUUCCUCAGAUGUCAUCUGACGAGGAAUAAAGAUUUAUCGGUUGUGGAUGGGGAUGCGUCUGAUUAGCUUGUUGGCGGGGUAACGGCCCACCAAGGCAACGAUCAGUAGGGGUUCUGAGAGGAAGGUACCCCACAUUGGAACUGAGACACGGUCCAAACUCCUACGGGAGGCAGCAGUGAGGAAUAUUGGUCAACGGGCGGAAGCCUGAACCAGCCAAGUAGCGUGCAGGAUGACGGCCCUAUGGGUUGUAAACUGCUUUUAUACAGGAAUAAAGUUAGCCACGUGUGGUUAUUUGUAGGUACUGUAUGAAUAAGGACCGGCUAAUUCCGUGCCAGCCGCCGCUGUAA